rnacentral:rRNA from 1 species
AUACGUAGGGGGCAAGCGUUAUCCGGAAUUACUGGGCGUAAAGAGUGCGUAGGUGGUCUUGCAAGCCUUGGGUGAAAGGCUACAGCUCAACUGUAGUAAGCCUUGGGAACUGUAAGACUUGAGUGCAGGAGAGGAGAGCGGAAUUCCUAGUGUAGCGGUGAAAUGCGUAGAUAUUAGGAGGAACACCAGUGGCGAAGGCGGCUCUCUGGACUGUUACUGACGCUGAGGCACGAAAGCGUGGGGAGCGAACAGGAUUAGAUACCCUGGUAGUCCACGCCGUAAACGAUGAGCACUAGGUGUCGGGGUCGCGAGACUUCGGUGCCGCAGCUAACGCAUUAAGUGCUCCGCCUGGGGAGUACGCACGCAAGUGUGAA